UGGUCCCUCCGCAAUGAUACUCUGUGAACUCGGUCAGGCCUGGAAGGGAGCAGCCGCAGCAGACGACUCAUGUGCCGGAAUGUGGCUG
rnacentral:SRP_RNA from 2 species